AGAGUGAACGCUGGCGGUAGGCCUAACACAUGCAAGUCGAACGGCAGCACAGUAGGAGCUUGCUCUUACGGGUGGUGAGUGGCGGACGGGUGAGGAAUACAUCGGGAUCUACCUUUUGGUGGGGGAUAACGUAGGGAAACUUACGCUAAUACCGCAUACGCCCGUUCGGGGGAAAGCCGGGGACCAGCAAUGGCCUGGCGCUGAUAGAUGAGCCGAUGUCGGAUUAGCUAGUUGG
rnacentral:rRNA from 1 species